UGUUUGAUGUUCUAACGUAGGCCCCUUAUCGGGGUUGCGGACAGUGUCUGGUGGGUAGUUUGACUGGGGCGGUCUCCUCCUAAAGAGUAACGGAGGAGCACGAAGGUUGGCUAAUCCUGGUCGGACAUCAGGAGGUUAGUGCAAUGGCAUAAGCCAGCUUGACUGCGAGCGUGACGGCGCGAGCAGGUGCGAAAGCAGGUCAUAGUGAUCCGGUGGUUCUGAAUGGAAGGGCCAUCGCUCAACGGAUAAAAGGUACUCCGGGGAUAACAGGCUGAUACCGCCCAAGAGUUCAUAUCGACGGCGGUGUUUGGCACCUCGAUGUCGGCUCAUCACAUCCUGGGGCUGAAGUAGGUCCCAAGGGUAUGGCUGUUCGCCAUUUAAAGUGGUACGCGAGCUGGGUUUAGAACGUCGUGAGACAGUUCGGUCCCUAUCUGCCGUGGGCGCUGGAGAACUGAGGGGGGCUGCUCCUAGUACGAGAGGACCGGAGUGGACGCAUCACUGGUGUUCGGGUUGUCAUGCCAAUGGCACUGCCCGGUAGCUAAAUGCGGAAGAGAUAAGUGCUGAAAGCAUCUAAGCACGAAACUUGCCCCGAGAUGAGUUCUCCCUGACCCUUUAAGGGUCCUGAAGGAACGUUGAAGACGACGACGUUGAUAGGCCGGGUGUGUAAGCGCAGCGAUGCGUUGAGCUAACCGGUACUAAUGAACCGUGAGG
rnacentral:rRNA from 1 species